rnacentral:rRNA from 1 species
UACGUAGGGUGCGAGCGUUAAUCGGAAUUACUGGCGUAAAGCGUGCGCAGGCGGUUCUGAAAGUCAGCUGUGAAAGCCCCGGGCUUAACCUGGGAAUUGCGGUUGAAACUACAGGGCUAGAAUCUGGCAGAGGGGGGUGGAAUUCCACGUGUAGGCAGUGAAAUGCGUAGAGAUGAUGGAGGAACACCGAUGGCGGAAGGCAGCCCCCUGGGCUGAGAUUGACGCUCAGGCACGAAAGCGUGGGGAGCAAACAGGA